GGUUAAGCGACUAAGCGUACACGGUGGAUGCCCUGGCAGUCAGAGGCGAUGAAGGACGUGCUAAUCUGCGAAAAGCGCCGGCGAGGUGAUAUGAACCUUUGACCCGGCGAUGUCCGAAUGGGGAAACCCAGUGUGUUCCGACACACUAUCGUUAACUGAAUACAUAGGUUAACGAGGCGAACCGGGGGAACUGAAACAUCUAAGUACCCCGAGGAAA
rnacentral:rRNA from 1 species